AAUGGGAUAGCUGGGUCAAAUGGUAGUUCCAUUCCCAUUUUUCCAAGCAAUUUCCACACUGCUUUCCAGAUUGGCUAUACGAAUUUGCAGUCCCACCAGCAAU
rnacentral:pre_miRNA from 1 species